GACGAACGCUGGCGGCGUGCCUAAUACAUGCAAGUCGAGCGGACCUUUCGGGGUCAGCGGCGGACGGGUGAGUAACACGUGGGCAAUCUGCCCGAUACUCUGGGAUAACGCUUGGAAACGAGUGCUAAUACCGGAUGGUCUUCUUGGCCGCAUGGCCGAGAAGGAAAAGACGCGUUCGCGUCGGUGUCGGAUGAGCCCGCGGCGCAUUAGCUAGUUGGUGAGGUAACGGCCCACCAAGGCGACGAUGCGUAGCCGACCUGAGAGGGUGACCGGCCACACUGGGACUGAGACACGGCCCAGACUCCUACGGGAGGCAGCAGUAGGGAAUCUUCCACAAUGGACGAAAGCCUGAUGGAGCAACGCCGCGUGAGUGAAGAAGGUUUUCGGAUCGUAAAACUCUGUUGUUAGAGAAGAACAAGGAUGAGAGUAACUGUUCAUCCCUUGACGGUAUCUAACCAGAAAGCCACGGCUAACUACGUGCCAGCCGCCGCAGUAAUAC
rnacentral:rRNA from 1 species